CCUUGGACCCAGACAGACUGGCGUGUGGCCAGAGGGGUGCCACAGCACAGCAGCCCUCAGAUGCCUACCUUCCAUCUUCCUUUGGAAAUCACAGACAACUCACUGAAGUGUCUCCAAGGAGAACAAGUUUUACCAAAAUGAAUCUUUCUUCAUUUAACUGAUCAAAUGGAUGAAUCUAACCCUCUAGGUUUCUUUCCCCAAUGGGGAGCUGGUCUGAGUAUUGACUGUUGGCUUCACUGAAGCAUCUUACCCUGAAGGCCUGAGAAGAAGCACAGUGGCCAAGCUGGGCUUAACUAGUAAGCUGCGGUUGGCCACGUCUGCUGGAGGCUUCCUUCUCAGAGAAGGAGACAGGGAACUGAAGGAAUAGUCAGGGGGUCAGAGAGACUAGGUUGAGUCUGGUUUUCCAGAUGAAUGAGAAGGAAAGGAUUGGUGGAGGGUUUGUUGCUACAGUCGGAAGAUUUGCAAAUGCUAACACAUUCCUGUGUGAGGCACAUCACCAUU